UUGUCUGGAUCAAUGAUGAGAAAAAUUGUCUGAGGAUGCUGAGGGACUCAUUCCAGAUGUCAAUCUGAGGUCCAGAUGAGUGACCCUUUACUAGGACAAAUCAGACUCUCAGAGCCUGACUCUCAGAGCCCAAGACUGCUGUGAGCAUGUGUUUUCUUUCUUUUGGAGCAAGUAAUUAGCAUCUUAUUUGUGAGGCAGUCUGCUCCUAGAUAUGCUGAUACACUAACCCAAGUCUUGCUUUAUUUUCCUCUAUUUGAACUGACUUGUAGAUAGAUUCGUGUAUAUAGGAAAUAGGUUCUUGAAUAAUGAAUGAGGAAACAAGAAAGAUUGAAUUAAGAAGGGGUCAAGCAACUGUGCUGGGUACUGAAAGUCCUACUAGUUUUGGGCUAAAAGAAGGGAACAUCAAAUGCCCUUAUUAAAUGUUGACAGCAAAAUCAAUUUUAGUGCUUUUUUUUGUUUUUGUUUUUUAAAGAUUUAUUUAUUUAUGCUUACAAGAGCUGGGGUACAGGCCAGAAGUGUGAUGGGGGGAGGGUGAGAGUAUUCACCAGAGACAGAAUGGAGAACAGAACAGGCAGAUUAACUGAAAUACACUGUUUGAGGGGAGCAACGGGUGAGUCAGGUCUGCUGCACCAUGUGUGUUGCUCCCUGGCCAGAUGGGGGAUCGAACUUAUGCUGCAGUGGCAGUCAGCUUUAUAGGUUGCGUCUUAACUCCUUGCGCCACCAGGGAGGCCCUUAGUGCUUUAUUUUGAAUGUUGGUUAUUUCCUGAGACUAUGUCUUUGUUUCUUGUUCUGUCAUGUUUAUCUGAGGUAGAAUGAAUGGAUGGAAGGUGGCCUUCUGCUUCAUAGAGUGGGGGUGAACCAGGAUCCUGUCAAAUUCACAUGUCACCUGGUUUGUGCCACAUCCUGAGCUCUCUUCAGUGGCUACUGGAUAAGAUCUUCAUGAUAUGUACUAUUCUUUGGUGGAGGUAGUAUGGAAAGUGCUAACUCUACAAAGAAAAGACCUUCCUCCCCUGGAGGUAUUCAGGAAUCCUGAAGAAGUGUGGCCCAGAGUGUGCACUGUCCCUAUGGAUAUCAGACAAUGGUGGAGUUGGUAUGGAACUGCCCAUAGCAAAGGAAUCAGGACAUUUCUCUCCUUAUAUGGCUGGAACUGCAUGGGUGACACAGAAAAAGUGUGAUCGUGGGAUGCACCAUACCCCUGGUUAACUCACAAAGUGGAGUUGGUGGUAGAAGACUCACCAUCUGUACAGAAAAUAAGGCUUGGUCUAUUUGAUGUCCAGAAGAUGGUGAGAGCUGUGACAUUGUCCCAGGAGUGUACCAUACCCGUGGAUUAUCAUUGUGUAUGAAUAGAAGACGUGUUAAUAAUAGAAGAUUACUAGUUGUGUGGAAGAUGGAGAGGACCCAAGGAUCAACUGGAUAAAUAAAGAUGGUGCAGCUGGCGAGAGGGAUGGCUCUCUGGGCACAGAGGGAGGAAGACCUUACUACCCUCAGAACACCAGAGGUGCUGGCGAGGCCCACAAGGCGUAUGGACGGGAAUACUCCAUGCCCUUGGGUGCACACAAAGGGUGCAGUUGAUGUGAGUGGGAUAGUUCACCAUGCAGAGAGUGGGGAAAACCUUACUGCCAUGGAAGACGGGAUGUGCUGCAGAGCGUGGAGGACUGACACUGGGGUGCACCUUGUCCUUACACUGACAUAAGGUGCAGUUGAUGUGAGAGGGAUAGCUCACCAUGCAGAGAGUGGGGAAAACCUUACUGCCAUGGAAGACGGGAGGUGCUGCAGAGCGUGGAGGACUGACACUGGGAUGCACCUUGUCCUUACACUGACAUAAGGUCCUGAGCUACUGGCUGUGGUGCCUACCUGGAUUUCAAAAGCCUGGAACCUUCUUAAAUGUGCUUGGAUCAAUGAUGACACCCCUCAAAAGCAUUCCUUGGAAAAGCUGAACAAAAUGAGUGAGAACUCUCUACCGUCGUUCUCAUCGAAUCUGAGGUCCAGCACAGUGUUUGAGUUGGGACCGUAGGUGAGAGAGAGAGCUAACCCUUGAGCACACAAAUGCACAUCCCAGCCAGGAAGUCAAUAACUAACAUUCUUCUGGCAUCAAGCCAGGGAUUUUACCUCAAGAUCAAGCCAGUGCCUGACAAUCCAGACCCUUGGUGGCCUCACCUGGUGGUGCAUUAAGUGGUCCCCACAGAACUAGGUCAAAGAGACUGUCAUAGAGGCCAUCUGUCCUUCCUUAGGGAAAGAGCUGAUUGACAGCAGAGUAUAUUAGGCCCUGGGACUACUUUGGUACACAUCAUGUUUCUGGGUACCUUUCUGAAGUGUGGGUUUGCUCUCUUAGGUGAAGUUGGCAAAAGAAUGGACACUAUCCUCACUCACAAGGAAGAAGACUCUCUCCCCUCAGAUCACCAGAGGUGCUGUCAGGUCUGUCGAUGCAAGUAGAUAGGAGUGCACAGUACCGGUGGAUACUCACUAAAGUAGGCUGCCCUCCGCCACAAGUGCUGGUUUGGAUGUUGGCAGGUACUAGACCUGCCUGACAGGUGGUUAUUGCACCUUUCUGAGUAACAUUUGGGGCUGAAUCCAAGAGUGGAAAGACCUUCUCCCUGUUUGGCCCAUGGUCUCCACACCCUCCGAGCUGCUGGAGGUGUAUGUUAACCUGGGCUAGUCCAGGAGGGCGCCACCUUAAAUUCCUAAAGUCUGUAUCCUCUUUGAAUGUGCUUGGAUCGAUGAUGACACCCCUCAAAUGCAUUCCUUGGAAAAGCUGAACAAAAUGAGUGAGAACCCUCUACCGUCGUUCUCAUCGGAUCUGAGGUCCAGCACGCUUCAACCUGGGAUGGAGCAGUUGACACAGGAGGGAUCGCUCACCAUGCACAUGAGAAGAAAACCGUAUUGCCAUGGAAGAUGGGAAGUGCUGCCGAAUGUUGGAGGAGCGUCACUGGGGGUGCACCUUGUCCGUACAUGCUGACAUAGGGUGCAGCUGGCAAAAGAGUGGACACUGUCCUUGCUCAUAAGGAAGAAGACCUCAUUUCCCUCAGAUAACUGGACAGGCUGUCAGGUCCAUGGAUGCAAGGAUGGGAGUGCACACUACCAGUGGAUACUCACUAAGGUGCAGUUGGCGAGAGGGAUGGCUGUCUGGGCACAGAGGAAGGAAGACCUUGCUGCCCUCAGAAUACCAGAGGUGCUGGCGAGGCCCACAAGGCGUAUGGACGGGAAUACUCCGUGCCCUUGGGUGCACACAAAGGGUCCAGUAGGCAAGUAGAGUGGACACUUGCCUUGUGCAAAAGGAGGAAGACCUUGCUCAUCUAGAUAAAUGGAGAUUCUGGCAAAACCCUCAAGAUGUGAUAAGGGAUUGCCCUAUAAUCCCGGACAUCCACAAAUGGUGAAGCUGUCUUGGAGGGAUGGCUCGCCUUGCUCGGAAGAAGUUACACCUUAUUGCCAUGGAAGGCCAGAUGUGCUGCUGAGUCUUCCAGGGUGUCUCCUGGGGUGAACUUUGUCCGUGGACGCCAACAUACAGUGAAGUUGGCGAGAGGUAUGGCUUUCUGGGCACAGAGGGAGGAAGACCUUGCUCCCCUCAGAGCACCAGAGGUGCUGGCGAGGCCCACAAGGCGUGUGGACAGGAAUACUCCGUGCCCUUGGGUGCACACAAAGGGUGCAGUUGGCGAGAGGGAUGGCUCUCUGGGCACAGAGGGAGGAAGACAUUGCUCCCCUCAGAACACAGGAGGUGCUGGCGAGGCCCACAAGGCUUGUGGAUGGGAAUACUCCGUGCCCUUGGGUGCACACAAAGGGUGCAGUUGGUGAGAGGGAUGGCUCUCUGGGCACAGAGGAAGCAAGACCUUGCUCCCCUCAGAGCACCAGAGGUGCUGGCGAGGCCCACAAGGCAUGUGGACAGGAAUACUCCGUGCCCUUGGGUGCACACAAAAGGUUCAGUUGAUGUGAGUGGGAUAGCUCACCAUGCUGAGAGUGGGGAAAACCUUACUGCCAUGGAAGACGGGAGGUGCUGCAGAGCGUGGAGGACUGACACUGGGGUGCACCUUGUCUUUACACUGACAUAGGUCCUGGGCUACUGGCUGUGGCGCCUGCCUGGAUUUCAAAAGCCUGGAACCUUCUUUAAUGUGCUUGGAUCGAUGAUGACACCCCUCAAAUGCAUUCCUUGGAAAAGCUGAACAAAAUGAGUGAGAACUCUCUACCGUCGUUCUCAUCGAAUCUGAGGUGCGAUUUGCGAAAGAGAGGACACUGUCCUCUCUCACAAGGAAGAACACAUUGCUACCCUCAGAUCACCGGAUGUGCUGUUGAAUCCUGCAAGGGUGUGGAUGGCGUGUACUGUACCCAUGGAUACUCACAAAGGGUGUAGUUGGCUUGGAGGAUGGCUUGCCAUGUGCAGAGUGUGGAAAACCUUUGUAUUGUGGAAGACCAGAGGUGCUGCUGAGUCUUCGAAGAGUGUCUCUUGGCAUGAACCUUGUCCAUAAACACAGUGCAGUUUUGCAGAAAUUGGAAGCUUGCAAUUCACACAUGAAGGAAGCUCUUGAUCAUCUAGAUCACAGGAGGUGCUAACAAAACUCUCGAGGUGUGAGGACUGGAUGCCCUGUGCCAUUGGAUGUCCACGAAGUGUGCAGUUGGCUUGGAGGAAUGGCUCGUCCUGCUCAGAAGGAGUUACACCUUACUGCCAUGGAAGACUGGAGGUGCUGCUGAGUCUUCGGGAGUGUCUCUUGGAGUGAACUUUGCCUGUGGAUGCCGACAUAUGGUGCAGAUGGGAGGAGUGUGUAUGCUUGCUGUGGGAAAAGGGUGGAAGACCAUGCUCCCCUCAGAUCACCAGAGGUGCUGCUGGUGCAGUUGGGAGAAGGAAGGCUCUCAGUGUGCAGAAAGAGGAAGAGCUUAGUGCUGUGCAAGUCCAGAGCUGCUCCUGAACCCUCAAGAAGUGUCGCUGGGGUUGCAAAAUUUCUGCGGAUGCCCAUAUACCGUGCAGUUGGCGUAGAGCAUGGAUACUUGCUUUGUAAACCAGGAGGAAGACCUUGUUCUCCAUAGAUCACCAGAGGUGCAUGCAAGUCGUGCCAGGCUUGUGGUUGGCAGUGCAAAGUACCCCUGGCUGCCCACAAAGGUGCAGUUGGCGUAGAGCAUGGAUACUUGCUUUGUAAACCAGGAGGAAGACCUUGUUCUCCAUAGAUCACCAGAGGUGCAUGCAAGUAGUGCCAGGCUUGUGGUUGGCAGUGCAAAGUACCCCUGGCUGCCCACAAAGGUAAAGUGGCUUGGAUGAUGGUUCACCUUUUGCAGAGGGCGGAAGACCUUACUAUAGUGGAUGACCAGAGGUGCUGCUGAGUCUUCAAGGAGUGUCUCUUGGCAUGAACCUUGUAAAUAAAUACGCCUGCAGCCUCCUCAAAUGUGCUUGGAUCGAUGAUGACACCCCGCAAAUGCAUUCCUUGGAAAAGCUGAACAAAAUGAGUGAGAACCCUCCACCGUCGUUCUCAUCGGAUUUGAGGUGAAGUGGCUUGGAAGAUGGCUCGCCUUGAGCAGAGGGUGGAAGACUGAAUGUGCUGCUGAGUGUUCGAGGAGUGUCUGUUGGUGUGAACCUUGUACAUAAAUAUGGUGUGGUUGGUGUGAGAGGGAAAGCUUGUCGUGUGCUGAAGGAGGAAGAUCUUACUGCCAUGGAAGGCCAGAGGUCCUUCUGUCUUCAAGGAGUGUCUCGGGGUGAACCUAGUCUGGAGAUGAUGACAUAUGAUGCUGGAGGCCUUGGGGUCCUCUACUGGCCAGGAAGACUACCCGCCUACAUUUCUCAAAGCCUGAAGUCUCUUCUAAUAUACUUGGGUUGAAGAUAACACCUCUCCUAUGCAUCCCUUGGGAAAGCUGAAAAACAUGAGUGAAAACUCUACCAUCAUUUUCCUCGAAUCUUCACAGAGGUCCAGUUGGCAAGCAGAUGCUUGCUUUGCACACAAGGAGGAAGACCUUGCUCACCCAGAUCACCAGACGUUAUGGCAAAACCCUCAAGGUGUGAUGACAGCAUUACGCUGUGCCCUUGGAUGACCACAAAGGGUGUGCUUGGUUGAGAGGGAUGGCUCGCCAUGCCCAGAGAAGAAGAACUUACUGCUGUGGAAGACUGGGGGUGCUGCUGAGUGUUUUAGGCAUUUCAAUAGGGUGCACCUUGUCCAUGGAUGCAAAAAUACGAUACUGGAAGUACUGGAGAGCCCAGGAUGGCAUAUGGAUAGGAGUGUGCAGUACCUGUGGAUACUCACAAAGGGUGCAGUUGGGAGAAGGAAGGCUCUCAGUGUGCAGAAAGAGGAAGAGCUUAGUGCUGUGCAAGUCCAGAGCUGCUCCUGAACCCUCAAGAAGUGUCGCUGGGGUUGCAAAAUUUCUGCGGAUGCCCAUAUACCCCUCCUCGAAUGUGCUUGGAUCGAUGAUGACACCCCUCAAAUGCAUUCCUUGGAAAAGCUGAACAAAAUGAGUGAGAACCCUCUACCGUCGUUCUCAUCGGAUCUGAGGUGCAGUUGGCGUAGAGCAUGGAUACUUGCUUUGUAAACCAGGAGGAAGACCUUGUUCUCCUCAGAUCACCAGAGGUGCACGCAAGUCGUGCCAGGCUUGUGGUUGGCAGUGCAAAGUACCCCUGGCUGCCCACAAAGGUGAAGUGGCUUGGAGGAUGGCUCAUUUACCUUGUGCAGAGGGUGGAAGACUGGAGAUGCUGCUGAGUCUUCAAGGAGUGUUUCUUGGCAUGAAUCUUGUACAUAAAUAGGGUGAAUUGGCUUAGAGGACAGCUCGCCUUGUGCAGAGGGUGGAAGACUUUACUAUUGUGGAAGACCAGAGGUGCUGCUGAGUCUUCAAGGAGUGUCUCUUGGCGUGAACCUUGUACUUAAAUAUGGUGCAGUUUGAACAGAAGCUGGACUCCUGCCUUGCACACAGAGCAGAAGACUUUGCUCCUGUCAGACCACAGGAGGUGCUGGCCAUUCCUGCGAGGCACGUGGAUGGGAGUAUGAAGUACUGGUAGACGCCCACAAAAGGUGAAGUGGCUUGGAGGAUGGCUCACUGUGCACAGAGGACAGAAGACCUUACUAGUGUGGAAGACCGGAGGUGCUGCUGAAUCUUCGAGGAGUGUACCUGUUGUGAACCUAGUACAUAAAUAAGGUGAAGUGGCUUGGAGGAUGGCUCACUGUGCACAGAGGACAGAAGACCUUACUAGUGUGGAAGACCAGAGGUGCUGCUGAAUCUUCAAGGAGUGUCGCCUGUUGUGAACCUAGUACAUAAAUAAGGUGCAGUUUGCACGGAAGUUGGACCCCUGCUUUGCACACAGAGCAGAAGGCUUUGCUCUGGUCAGACCACUGGAGGCGCUGGCAAUUCCUGUGAUGCAUGUGGAUGGGAGUGUGCAGUACCCAUGAACGCCUGCAAAGGGUGAAGUGGCUUGGAGGAUGGCUCGCUGUGCACAGAGGACAGACGACCUUACUAGUGUGGAAGACCGGAGGUGCUGCUGAGUCUUCGAGGAGUGUCGCCUGUUGUGAACCUAGUACAUAAAUAAGGUGCAGUUUGCACGGAAGUUGGACCCCUGCUUUGCACACAGAGCAGAAGGCUUUGCUCUGGUCAGACCACUGGAGGCGCUGGCAAUUCCUGUGAUGCAUGUGGAUGGGAGUGUGAAGUACCCAUGAACGCCUGCAAAGGGUGAAGUGGCUUGGAGGAUGGCUCGCUGUGCACAGAGGACAGACGACCUUACUAGUGUGGAAGACCGGAGGUGCUGCUGAGUCUUCGAGGAGUGUUGCCUGUUGUGAACCUAGUACAUGAAUAAGGUGAAGUGACUUGGAGGAUGGCUCGCUGUGCACAGAGGACAGACGACCUUACUAGUGUGGAAGACCGGAGGUGCUGCUGAGUCUUCGAGGAGUGUCGCCUGUUGUGAACCUAGUACAUAAAUAAGGUGCAGUUUGCACGGAAGUUGGACCCCUGCUUUGCACACAGAGCAGAAGGCUUUGCUCUGGUCAGACCACUGGAGGCGCUGGCAAUUCCUGUGAUGCAUGUGGAUGGGAGUGUGAAGUACCCAUGAACGCCUGCAAAGGGUGAAGUGGCUUGGAGGAUGGCUCGCUGUGCACAGUGGACAGAUGACCUUACUAGUGUGGAAGACCGGAGGUGCUGCUGAGUCUUCGAGGAGUGUCGCCUGUUGUGAACCUAGUACAUAAAUAAGGUGCAGUUUGCACGGAAGUUGGACCCCUGCUUUGCACACAGAGCAGAAGGCUUUGCUCUGGUCAGACCACUGGAGGCGCUGGCAAUUCCUGUGAUGCAUGUGGAUGGGAGUGUGAAGUACCCAUGAACGCCUGCAAAGGGUGAAGUGGCUUGGAGGAUGCCUCGCUGUGCACAGAGGACAGACGACCUUAUUAUUGUGGAAGACCAGAGGUGCUGCUGAGUCUUCGAGGAGUGUCGCCUGUUGUGAAUCUAGUACAUAAAUAAGGUGCAGUUUGCACGGAAGUUGGACCCCUGCUUUGCACACAGAGCAGAAGGCUUUGCUCUGGUCAGACCACUGAAGGUGCUGGCAAUUCCUGUGAUGCAUGUGGAUGGGAGUGUGAAGUACCCAUGAACGCCUGCAAAGGGUGAAGUGGUUUGGGGGAUGACUCACUGUGUGCAGAGGGCAGAAGACCUUACUAUUGUGGAUGAACGGAAAUGCUGCUGAGUCUUUGAGGAGUGACACCCCUGAAAUGCAUUCCUUGGAAAAGCUGUACAAAAUGGGUGCUGUUAGCGUGAGAGGGAUGACUUUCCAGGUGCAGAGGAUGGAAGACCUCACUGCCAUGGAAGAUUGGAGUUGCUGGGAGGUUUCAAGGAGUGUUGGUGCUGGUGUACCUUGUCCUUGGAUGCUGACAUAUGUCUAAAUGGACUCCUCUGGCCUGGUAGCUGGGCUUCCCACCUCCAGGCUGCUGGAAACCUUGACUCCUGGCCUGCUCUACUAUGCUCCCCACCUGGAUUUCUUAAAGUCUGCUGCCUCCUUGAAUGUGCUCGGAUCGAUGAUGACACCCCUCAAAUGCAUUCCUUGGAAAAGCUGAACAAAAUGAGUGCACUUGGAGAGGUUGGCUGUCCAGGCACAGAGGGAGCAAUUGCUUAGUGCUGUCGAAGUCUGGAGAUGCUGCUGAGUCUUUGUUGCGUGUUGCUGGGCAUGCCAUUGGAAUGGAGAGUGGAUGGCUCACUGUGCAGAGGGCGGAGGACCUUGCUACCAUGGAUGACUGGAGGUGCCGGUGAAUUGCUCUGGAUCCUCCCUGAGUCUUAUUGUCCAUCCUGAGAUGUUGGCAUGAGCGACAGCUUCCCCUUGACCACAAACAUGCAGCCACCAGCCAGGGAACCAACACCUCAAGGGCUAUAGCCCUAAGUUGUUCUGGCUGGCUUAUCUGGGAAUGAAUAAAGGAAUACGUUCGAGGUGAAGCCAGAUCCUAGAAGGGAAUGGAAUCUGUCUGUUCCUCUGCCUUUCUUCUUAAAUGUCAGCUCCAAAGCUUGAGCUGACAACUCACUUCUCAGUGAUUCUCUAUUCCUACCUUUGGCCUUUUGGAUGCCCCUGCAGAUGAUAUCUCGGGAAUGGUUUUGGGAGUGAAUGAUUCCAGUUACUCUCUGAAACAAGAAUCUCCAGACAAAGAGCCUUUUCACCUACCUGUUAGCAAAGGGCCAUUCUCUGAAGGUGAUGACUCUAACAGUGAGGUGGAUUUGUUACUUCUACCACCAGCUUCACCAAAACCAUGAUACAUUCAUCCUUAUGCAUGGAGAUUCCUCUCCUUCCUGUGUUGCAGCGGACACCUCCUGCAGAUAAGAAAUGCUUAACUGAGAAAUGCUCAUGUUGGGAUAUCAUCGAUGAGACUUUAAUUUGGGCAUGGUGACUGUUUCCCUUCUGCUACUUGAUUCAAUCCCAGGAGCCUCAGUAGAGGAAAUUUAUUGCACAAGAAACUCAAAAUGAUGGAAUUGCUCAGUGCUCCCAUAAAUAUACAUUUAUAAUUUUCAUUUGCCAUGUGGUAAAUUUAAAACAUAGGACACAUUAAAAAGAAACUGCAUGAUUUUUUUUCAAAAAUUCAAAGCAUAUCUAAAUAUCUAACAUAUAAAUUAAGUGCCCUCCUCUUUCUCAAAUCUAUCUCCCAGAGUUUUCCUCUAUUAAGGGAAUUGUGUGCAUUCUUUAAGUGGAUCGAUGUGCACAAACACACACGCAAGUUAUUUUGGGGGGGUUCUGGAAAUGGGGCCAUACUGUACACAUUCUUCUGCAAAUUGCCUUUUAUUUAAUAGUUUUUCAAUGCCCUUUUUCUAUUUCAAUAAUACACAUCUUUGUCAUUUGUUGAAUGACUACAUAAUUGUUUUGUAGAUACACUUAAAGGUUUUAAGCAUUUCUCAUUCAGAGAUAUUUAUGUAAGCACCAAAUUUCUGUGCAAUGAGCCUCCCUAUAUAUCAAUAAUUUUGCAAUUGUCAAUUAUAUCAUAAUAAAUUACUUAGCAGUUGAAAUACUGGGAUUAAGGAUAUAAACAUUUUUCAAAUUUUGAAAAUUAUUACAAGACUUCCUUUAAAAUGUGGUAACAAUUUUACCCUCAAAUGGCAAUGAAUGAGAUUGCCAUCUCCCACAACCUUACAGAUAAUGGAUUUUAUAAAUAUUUAAAAUCUUUGCCAAUGUUAUAGCCCAAACUAUUGUCUUAAACUGUAUUUUUGUUUUUUAGUUUAAUCAUUUUCUUCAUGUUUAUUAGUCAUCUGUAUUUUUUAAUUUCUUCUUUAUGUCCAAUUUUGGGGGUUGGGGGAGCAUUUAGUCUCUUCCUGAACUCAUUUGUUAUUGGGGGAAUGAGCUUUGGAUUGUCAAGCAUUACAGAUAUUUUUACACACUCUAAACUUUGUUUUUGUUAUAAGAAUGUGUAUAAUUGUUAUAUGUCCAAGUAUAACCAUGUCUGCUAUGGCUUCUGAGUUUCAUGUCAUUUUGGAAAGAUAUUUAUGCUGAUUCCAUAAAACCCUUCACCUAUGUUAACUUCUAAUUCUUUCGUGUUUUUUAAAUUCAAAUUCGUAAAAUCAUGAGAAAUUUUUUUGAUUUGAAAUCUUAAAGUUGCCAAGUUAUUUGCCAUUACUUGCGAUUAUUUGCCAAUAAUUGCACAUUUAUCUGUAAUGCCAUCUUGCAUAUAUGCUGUAUUCUCAUCUGUGACUGGCUCCAUUUUUGUUCUGUGGAUCUGUGUGUGUCUUCUUCUGCCUCCUGUCUCAUGUGUUUUCUCAUUGGAAGAAAUUACAGUUUAGACUGCAAUUUCCUCAACUUUAAUAAAUUAAUAUGGGGAAAAUUGGUUCUUAAUAAGUCUUCCUAUCCAAGGACAAGGUAUGUCUUUCUUUUAUUCAAUAAUUUACUUACUGUUAAUAUUUUCACUUUGUGAUGGGUAUAUUUUCUUUCAGCUUAUUUACUUGAUAAUAUUACUGCUUCUGAAAGUUUGUUUUAUUUUGGGGGGCAAGUGGUCACCUUACUCUUUCUCAAGACUUCUCAUAUUGUUUCAAAUAUGUACUAAAUCCUUUGCAAAUAUUGAUAGUUUGUAUUCUCCUUUCCAAAUGAUCUGGGUUUUAGUUACGUUGAUAAAUGUUACUGACUGUUACUUGCAGAGCACUUACAUGAUUGUGGAAAUACUGCCUACCCUGAUUUUGGUUUUAAUGGAAUGCUUCUUUGGUUUGACCAGCAUAGUGUUACUGAUCUGGUAUGCAGAAAGGCUCCCAGAAGGAGCUAUAAUCAGGAAAUUGAGUUCUUUAUACCUACAAGAGCAAGGGAAAACACCACUUUGACAAGGUUUAGCAGUGUUUCAAAAGCAGGAGAAAAGAAUGUUUGCUUCUGGGCUGGUGUGGUUUUUAAGGUGGGCCUUUCAAGCAGGGAACUCAUCACAAAUGGGCAAGAUGUUUGAUGCAGUAGUCUAAGGUGAAAGAGUAAGGUGAGGGUCUUGACGAGUCUAGAAAAUCAAAUUGAUAAUAAGCUGCUUUGUCUAUGUAAGAUGUUAUCAAUGAUAGAAGAGCCAUUUGCCUAGAUGAGCAAAUUGUGUAUUUGUUGGUUUACAGUUCUAUCUUAUUAGAUUGGACUCUUCUGGGGUGGCUUUGGGUAUAAGUCCCAAAUAAGUUAUUUUGAUGUGGGUGGUCUCAAGCAUCAAUAUAAGAUGCUAAUUUUAAAUUUGACACAUUUUAUGCAUCAUGUUAGGAAAGUCUCCCACAUUUUAUAUUGUUCUAAGAAAUUUUAGUCAAAGCUAGAUGGUAGAUAGAAUCAAAUAUUUUUGCAUAAAUAAUUGUAUUCCU